UGCGUAGGCGGCGGCAUAAGUCAGAAGUGAAAGUUGGCAGCUUAACUGCAAAAUUGCUUUUGAUACUGUGUUGCUUGAAUCAAGUUGAAGCUGGCUGAAUGUGGCAUGUAGCGGUGAAAUGCUUAGAUAUGCCAUAGAACACCAAUUGCGAAGGCAGCUGGCUAAGCUUGUAUUGACGCUGAGGCACGAAAGCGUGGGGAGCGAACAGGAUUAGAUACCCUGGUAGUCC
rnacentral:rRNA from 1 species